UGCCUUUAAGCCUGACAUAGCUUCGUGAAAACGGAGGUAAUUUCAGAUAAAAUCAAUGUGGCGCAUGUCAUUUUGAUUAAAGAUGGGGACCGCCCCUUCUACGCUAAAUGCUUUCGCGUUUAGCUUCGAAGGGCUUUAAGAGGCCCUGCGAAGUUAAACACAAUAAGUAUUUAACGAAGCAGGGAAGGCCUAUCGCUUAGAGAUGAGCUCGCGUCUUAUCAGCUAGUUGGUAGGGUAAUGGCCUACCAAGGCUUUUGACGAGUAGCUGGUCUGAGAGGAUGGUCAGCCACACUGGGACUGAGACACUGCCCAGACUCCUACGGGAGGCUGCAGUCGAGAAUCUUUAGCAAUGGGCGAAACCCUGACUAUGCAACGCCGCGUGAGGGAUGAAGGUCUUCGGAUCGUAACCUCU
rnacentral:rRNA from 1 species